GGAAAUGAGAGACAAAAUUGAGGAGAAAGAGAGGGAAAUCACCAGUUUCAAAAAGACUAUUGAGAAUUUGGAAUUGGUGGUAACAAAGAACGGCCUGGAAUUAGAUAAGUGGAUCAAGGAGAAACUUAAGGUGGAAGAGUUGUUGAAGGAGUCAGAGGAGAAAACGAAAAUGUUUGAGUCGAAAAUGGUUCAGUUGCAGAAGGAAGUAGAGGAAGCACAGAAAGUCAUUAGUGGAUUAAAGGAGAAAGCGGUGAAUGCGUUGAAUGGAACUGCAGAGGAACUCAAGUCGGCUUUCGAAGGUGCAGAGAAGGAGUUGAAUUUGAACUGGCCUAUAAUUGCAGGUUCAACAGGAGUUGUUGCUGCCGUCGCUGCACUGGCCUUUGUUUUGUAUGGAAGGCAAAGAUAGAUUGUGAUGCAACGAAGCCAGAUAGUUGAGAUGGAGACUUGAUUCAGA
rnacentral:misc_RNA from 1 species